rnacentral:rRNA from 1 species
UUUCGCAAUGCCCGAAAGGGUGACGAAGCGACGCCGCGUGGGUGAAGAAGGCCUUCGGGUUGUAAAGCCCUGUCAGGAGUUAAGAAGUGUAGGCUCGCUAAUAUCGGGUCUAUUUGACAAAGGCUCCAAAGGAAGCCACGGCUAACUCUGUGCCAGCAGCCGCGGUAAUACAGAGGUGGCAAGCGUUGUUCGGAAUUAUUGGGCGUAAAGAGCACGUAGGUGGAUUUGUAAGUCAGAUGUGAAAGCCUUCUGUUCAACGGGAGAAUUGCAUCUGAAACUACAAACCUUGAGUAUAGGAGGGGAGAAUGGAACUUCUGGUGGAGCGGUGAAAUGCGUAGAUAUCAGAAGGAACGCCGGCGGCGAAAGCGAUUCUCUGGCCUAUUACUGACACUCAGUGUGCGAAAGCCAGGGGAGCAAACGGGAUUAGAUACCCCGGUAGUCCUAGCCGUAAACGAUGGGCACUAAGUAGAGGGGUUUU